rnacentral:rRNA from 1 species
UGGGGAAUUUUGGACAAUGGGCGCAAGCCUGAUCCAGCCAUGCCGCGUGCGGGAAGAAGGCCUUCGGGUUGUAAACCGCUUUUGUCAGGGAAGAAAUCUUCUGAGUUAAUACCUCGGGAGGAUGACGGUACCUGAAGAAUAAGCACCGGCUAACUACGUGCCGGCAGCCGCGGUAAUACGUAGGGUGCAAGCGUUAAUCGGAAUUACUGGGCGUAAAGCGUGCGCAGGCGGUUUUGUAAGACAGAGGUGAAAUCCCCGGGCUCAACCUGGGAACUGCCUUUGUGACUGCAAGGCUUGAGUGCGGCAGAGGGGGAUGGAAUUCCGCGUGUAGCAGUGAAAUGCGUAGAUAUGCGGAGGAACACCGAUGGCGAAGGCAAUCCCCUGGGCCUGCACUGACGCUCAUGCACGAAAGCGUGGGGAGCAAACAGGAUUAGAUAGCCCUGGUAGUCCACGCCCUAAACGAUGUCAACUGGUUGUUGGGAAGGUUCCUUCUCAGUAACGUAGCUAACGCGUGAAGUUGACCGCCUGGGGAGUACGGCCGCAAGGUUGAAACUCAAAGGAAUUGACGGGGU